AGAAUCCCGUCCACCGAUUGACUAAGGUUUCCAGAGGAAGGCUCGUCCGCUCUGGGUUAGUCGGGUCCUAAGCUGAGGCCGACAGGCGUAGGCGAUGGAUAACAGGUUGAUAUUCCUGUACCACCUAUAAUCGUUUUAAUCGAUGGGGGGACGCAGUAGGAUAGGCGAAGCGUGCGAUUGGAUUGCACGUCUAAGCAGUAAGGCUGAGUAUUAGGCAAAUCCGGUACUCGUUAAGGCUGAGCUGUGAUGGGGAGAAGACAUUGUGUCUUCGAGUCGUUGAUUUCACACUGCCGAGAAAAGCCUCUAGAUAGAAAAUAGGUGCCCGUACCGCAAACCGACACAGGUAGUCAAGAUGAGAAUUCUAAGGUGAGCGAGCGAACUCUCGUUAAGGAACUCGGCAAAAUGACCCCGUAACUUCGGGAGAAGGGGUGCUCUUUAGGGUUAACGCCCAGAAGAGCCGCAGUGAAUAGGCCCAAGCGACUGUUUAUCAAAAACACAGGUCUCUGCUAAACCGUAAGGUGAUGUAUAGGGGCUGACGCCUGCCCGGUGCUGGAAGGUUAAGAGGAGUGGUUAGCUUCUGCGAAGCUACGAAUCGAAGCCCCAGUAAACGGCGGCCGUAACUAUAACGGUCCUAAGGUAGCGAAAUUCCUUGUCGGGUAAGUUCCGACCCGCACGAAAGGCGUAACGAUUUGGGCACUGUCUCAACGAGAGACUCGGUGAAAUCAUAGUACCUGUGAAGAUGCAGGUUACCCGCGACAGGACGGAAAGACCCCGUGGAGCUUUACUGUAGCCUGAUAUUGAAAUUCGGCACAGCUUGUACAGGAUAGGUAGGAGCCUUUGAAACGUGAGCGCUAGCUUACGUGGAGGCGCUGGUGGGAUACUACCCUAGCUGUGUUGGCUUUCUAACCCGCACCACUUAUCGUGGUGGGAGACAGUGUCAGGCGGGCAGUUUGACUGGGGCGGUCGCCUCCUAAAAGGUAACGGAGGCGCUCAAAGGUUCCCUCAGAAUGGUUGGAAAUCAUUCAUAGAGUGUAAAGGCAUAAGGGAGCUUGACUGCGAGACCUACAAGUCGAGCAGGGUCGAAAGACGGACUUAGUGAUCCGGUGGUU
rnacentral:rRNA from 1 species